GCCUAGUUAGCUUAGAGGGUAGCGCGUUGGCCUUGUAAGCGCUAGGUCGCGGGUUCGAUUCCCGCCCGGGGUG
rnacentral:tRNA from 1 species